CACUCCCCAGCCUCCAGCGCCCGAAAUUCGAGGACCGUUGCCCACACGCCACCGUUUGCCCCGGCGGCCGAGGCGGCAUGUGCAGACACGUCCUGGUCAGCACGCACGCACGGAGGAAUACUCCCCUCGGGGUCCCGGGGGCAAAGCCUUCCCCAGCCAGGACAAACUCCAGCGUGGGCUCCGGCGGUGACUUCCCCGUGCCCCACCAGCACCAGGGCCAGAACACGCGCACCCCGAAGUCACCGGUGCCCCAGUCCACACCUAGGCACGCGCACGCGGCUCGGGCUCCUCCAGGUGAGUCCCUCCUGGUCACACUCCCGCGUGUCCUUGUCCCUUUGCACGCUGAGUCCAGUGCACGCCACCCACGCACGCACGCGUCCUCCGCUGUCCGGGUGCGCGCACCCCAAGGUCCCGGCCUGCGUGAAGGAGAGGUGCAGGCAGCCCCAACCUGGGCACUUAGUCGCCUCCCAGUGCCCCCGCCUGUCAGAGGUCAGCGCUGCCCCACCAGACUUGGGGGCUGCUCUCCAAGCACCCCCGACGGGGCUGAUUCUCGGGUUGAUCUUCAGUUCAAAAGCUGGGGGCCCUUUCCGGUCGUCCCUCCGCGGCGUUUUGGGUCACCCUUCUGCCCCCUCUAGUUUCCCAGGGUGACUCUCCCUCUCCCCGGCCCCACGGAACAGGAAGACACCGCGGGCAGGCGACCUUUGCGAAGGCUGGCCCCGGGACCCACCCUUUCCGAGGCGUGCUGCUGCGCCUGAGUUUGGGGCAGACUUUCCCGAAGCUCCCAUCCCUUCCCGCGAGCCUGCUGCCUCGGGCUUCCAGUUCGGGGUCCUUCAAGCUGGUUUUUCCCGGGUCAGGCCACGUACCCCUCGGACAUGCAACUCUGCGAAAUGCCUUUUAUUUUUAAGUAAGAGUGGGAGAGAAGAAUGCCUAGGGCAGAUUCCCCUCCACCCCCCGAAUUUGCUGACGUAUCCUUUGAGCCCAGAGCAGGGCCUGGCACCCCGGGGGCGCUCACCAAAUAUCUGCAGCACCUUUAUUCCGCGUGCUCCCGCUGGACGGCGGAAGUGGAACGUGGACCGGCACUGGCUCCUGGUGGUGUCUUGUGGAACUGUCGCCGAGGUUCUUCCGUAGCGCGCAGAUUCGGCCUUCUGAGCCUCAGUGUUCUCUCCUGUAAAACAGAGCUCGUUUUAGUAGUACAUGCCUAUCCGGGUAAACAAACGAGACCUGAGAAGGGCUUUACACAAGUUCUGGCACUUGUAAAAUCCUUAGUAGGAGCUACUAAUAUUGGAAUUACAGUUACAUUCCUUUCCCCGGCUUGUUUUUAGAGAGACCUUUGAUCAUAAUGGAUGACGAUAUUUUGGAAGGAAGGAGUGAAAAUGAAGGAGGAUUCUGGUGCUUGCUGCUUUCUGCUCACCCUGCCAUGGACUGUUUCUCCUCUGUGAUAGCCCCUCUGCCAUGCUGCCCUUCCUUGGAGCCAGAUUAGUGACUAAACUUCUACAAAUGACCUUUCAGGAGCCUCUUUAUUCUGCAAGUAAUUACCUCAUAUCCCAAAUGGCUUUCCAGCUGUCCAUCCAUCUCCACAAAUCAUCUUGGCAUCACAGGGGUCUUUGGUUGGUGCCACUUCUGAAACAUCAACCGACUCCAUGGAGAAACUGGAUGAAAUGGUGGAAUCCAGACAUCUGAUCUAUUUGAAGUGCCCUUUGAAUUGCCUUAGUCCUCCAAGUGUGGCCUGCGGAACCUCCCUGGGAUCUGCAAGAUGAGAACUGUUUUAAGGACAGCUCUAAGGCCUCGGUGUCCCUUCUCACCAGCAUGGAGGCAGAGUAGCUUCCAGCAGCUUCCAGAUCCAUGGUACUGCAACAGGCUGAGCAGCCGCAGAUGUGAGGCACCGCCGUCUUCUCUUACAGCAGACAUUAUGGAGACUUUCAAACCCUGCAAAGUAUCUCUGUGCUUCUCACUAAUUGCUUUUUGUUUUGGAAAAUACAGGUUUUUUCAUAAAAGGGUUUAUGUUAAUAUAUAAUGGGAUUAUUAUUGUUUUUAAAUGAAUCUUUCAAAAAAUUCUUGGUUUUAUUUUAAAAGAAGGUAAAUAUUGCUAUUUGUCUACAGAUAUUAUCUCCUCGAAGUUCUUUUAAGUUAAGACAAUAUCACUUACCCCCUACCAGGUGGUGGUUCUGUUGGCGGUAGGACAUAAAGUAUCUUUCUUGAGGUGCUCCUGCUCCUCCUUUUCUGUCUUUGCGUCUUUUAUAUUUUUCUUUUCUCUCUUUUUACAGUGCUGGGGCUUGAACUCAGGGCUUGAUGCUGGUUUCAUUAUGUUGCCCAGGCUGGCCUUAAGCUUCUGGAUAUAAACAAUCCUCCUGCCUCAGCCUCCCCAGUAGCUGGCCACAGGUGUGUGCCACCAUACCUGGGUAUUAUUUAUUAAUUUUAAAGCAUAAAAGGUUUCCAAGACCAUCCAUUUUGAGAACCAUUAAAUUAUACUUAUCUACUGGAAUCAUCUCUCCAGAAAGAACAACAAAUAUUUAUACCGCAUUUAGAGUUUACCAGGUACUGUUCUAAACAGCAUAAACUCUCAUGAUUCUCUUGGCAACCCCAUGAGGUGUGCCGUUUCCCUGUUUUGUAGAAGUGGAAGUUGAGGCACAGAAAGGAAAUGAUCAGAAAGCCUCCCGCAUUCAGAUGUUCCCCAAGAGGGACAGGCUGGGCCUUCGUGUGAAGAACAGAAUGUUCCUGGUGGGUGAGCCUUGUGCCUGCAAAGCCCACUGCUGGGCCAAGGGCUGAGCUCCUCCUCCCUUUCCUUCACCUUCUCCUCCUUUUCUUCCUCCCCCUUCUCCUCCCCUUCUCCUCCCCCUUCCCUCCCCCUCCCUGUCUUCUCCCCCUCCCCCUUCCCCUUCCCCUUCUCCUCUGUCUUCAUCCUUCUCUGCUCCGGCUUGACCCAGUCAACUGGGAAAGAUUGCACCAGACAGGCAAGCGGAGGUAGAAGCUGAGGUGGGACUGGGAGCCUGAGGUGACUUGGUUACAUUAAGCCCCUGGGACAGGGGACAAUUAUAUAAUGGCGGACAGGAGGGCAAGGGUGACAGAGCAAGCCAAGGCAAGGGAUGAACCCUGGAGUUGGAGGGAAGAAAAGCAGGACAGAGCAGAGGAAAUGUGUCCAUCACCAGCUGGGCAGCUGCCAUGCAGGAGCAAACUCAUCCCUCCUCUGGUGUUCCUGUCCCUGCGGGCUUCAUCCUCGACUCUCCUGGCUCCGCUGAGUACAGAUGAUUCUUGAAGUCCUGGUAUCUUAGCAUCAAACUCCAUUACUGUCUAAUUAACAGGACCCAGUUUCUUGCUUGGAGGCAAGAAUCCCAAAUACGCCCAGGCCUUUGCUGCCCCAGUAGCAGAAUGGCCAGGGGUCACACAGUAGAUGCACAGUGCAGAGGCCAGAACCCGGUGGAUACUGAUGCAUUUUCUUGUGGUUCUUACUGUCACGCUUUGUCUACCCGAAGGCCACUUCUGUGGGCAGGAUGAAUUUGAGGACCUCAUUUCUUCUGCUGGGACUCUGACCUCGUUCAACAUCACUGGGAAUGAUAGUGGACAGGGCACUGUCCACUACAUCCUAUCUAGAAACAAUAAAAUAAGAAAUCUUAAAAUUCCAAUGUAUAGAGUCUGUGUUUUAUAUAUCUGUUCAUCAGCUGAUGGGCAUCUCAUUGCUUUCGCUUUGAACUAUAGUGAACAAUGCUGCUAUAACCGUUUGUGUACAAUUCUGUGGGGCCCUAUAUUACCAUUUGGGGGGGAUAGAUACUUAGGAUGGAAUGGCUGUUUAUAUGGUAAAAGUAUGAUGGGUAAGAAACUGUCCACCUACUCUAAAAGUUGUUUGUUUGUUUGUUUGUUUGUUUGUUUUAGGGACAGGGUCUUGUUAUACUCCCCACACUGGCCUUGAAUCCAGGGCUCAAGGGAUCCUCCUGCCUCAGCCUCUCAAGUAGCUGGGACUGUAGGUCUGUGCUACCUACCAUGCCUGGAUUAGAAGUGUUUGUCAGGCUGGGCACAGUGGCA
ensembl:lncRNA